AUUGAACGCUGGCGGCAUGCUUUACACAUGCAAGUCGAACGCGGCCGGGGGGCAACUUCUGGCCGAGUGGCGAACGGGUGAGUAAUACAUCGGAACGUACCCCGUUGUGGGGGAUAACCCACCGAAAGGUGGGCUAAUACCGCAUACGCCCUUUGGGGGAAAGCGGGGGACCGCAAGGCCUCGCGCGAUGGGAGCGGCCGAUGUCGGAUUAGCUAGUAGGUUGGGUAAAGGCUGACCUAGGCGACGAUCCGUAGCUGGUCUGAGAGGAUGAUCAGCCACACUGGGACUGAGACACGGCCCAGACUCCUACGGGUGGCAG
rnacentral:rRNA from 1 species